rnacentral:rRNA from 1 species
UGAGUAACCUGCCCUUAACUCUGGGAUAAGCCUGGGAAACUGGGUCUAAUACCGGAUAUGACUCCUCAUCGCAUGGUGGGGGGUGAAAGCUAUAUUGUGGUUUUGGAUGGACUCGCGGCCUAUCAGCUUGUUGGUGAGGUAAUGGCUCACCAAGGCGACGACGGGUAGCCGGCCUGAGAGGGUGACCGGCCACACUGGAACUGAGAUACCGGCCCAGACCUCCGUACGGGAGCAG